AUGAGGUAUAUUACUCUGUGUUGUUAGGUAUGAGGUUUUACUCUGUGUUGUUAGGUAUAAGGUAUUACUCUGUGUUGUUAGGUAUGAGGUUUUACUCUGUGUUGUUAGGUAUAAGGUAUUACUCUGUGUUGUUAGGUAUGAGGUAUUACUCUGUGUUGUUAUAGGUAUGAGGUUUUACUCUGUGUUGUUAGGUAUGAGGUUUUACUGUGUUGUUAGGUAUGAGGUAUAUUACUCUGUGUUAGGUAUGAGGUAUUACUCUGUGUUGUUAGGUAUGAGGUUUUACUCUGUGUUGUUAGGUAUGAGGUUUUACUGUGUUGUUAGGUAUGAGGUAUAUUACUCUGUGUUGUUAGGUAUGAGGUUUUACUCUGUGUUGUUAGGUAUGAGGUUUUACUCUGUGUUGUUAGGUAUGAGGUUUUACUGUGUUGUUAGGUAUGAGGUAUAUUACUCUGUGUUGUUAGGUAUGAGGUAUAUUACUCUGUGUUGUUAGGUAUGAGGUUUUACUCUGUGUUGUUAGGUAUGAGGUUUUACUCUGUGUUGUUUGGUAUAAGGUAUUACUCUGUGUUGUUAGGUAUGAGGUUUUACUCUUUGUUGUUAGGUAUAAGGUAUUACUUUGUGUUGUUAGGUAUGAGGUAUUACUCUGUGUUGUUAGGUUUGAGGUUUUACUCUGUGUUGUUAUAGGUAUGAGGUUUUACUCUGUGUUGUUAGGUAUGAUGUUUUACUGUGUUGUUAGGUAUGAGGUAUAUUACUCUGUGUUGUUAGGUAUGAGGUUUUACUCUGUGUUGUUAGGUAUGAGGUAUUACUCUGUGUUGUAAUGUAUGAGGUUUUACUCUUUGUUGUUAGGUAUGAGGUUUUACUCUUUGUUGUUAGGUAUAAGGUAUUACUCUGUGUUGUUAGGUAUAAGGUAUUACUCUGUGUUGUUAGGUAUGAGGUUUAACUCUUUGUUGUUAGGUAUGAGGUUUUACUCUGUGUUGUUAGGUAUGAGGUAUUACUCUGUGUUGUAAUGUAUGAGGUUUUACUCUUUGUUGUUAUGUACGAGGUUUUACUCUUUG